rnacentral:tRNA from 1 species
GCUCGAAUGGUGGAAUAGGUAGACACGCCGGACUUAAAAUCCUGUGGCCAGUAAUGGCCGUGCCGGUUCGAUCCCGGCUUCGAGUA